AUGAAUGUCUUAAGCUGGAACUGCCGGGGAGGGGGGAACACCCGGACAGUUCGUGAGUUAGCGACUAUCUGUCAGUCGCAUUCCCCCAGUUUGGUGUUUUUGUGUGAAACAAGACAGAGGGCUGAUAAAAUGAAAAAGGUGCGUGGGAGGAUUGGUUUGAAGGGUUUUGCUGCAGUUGAUAGUAAUGGUAUGAGUGGUGGUUUGGCGUUAUUUUGGCAUGAGAACUAUGAGGUGGAGGUUUUUUUUCGAUAG
rnacentral:rRNA from 1 species